rnacentral:rRNA from 1 species
UGAGUACAAGAUGCUACGGCAUUGAAGCAGUCUAUGUCAUACUUCCAAGAAAAGCUUGCAAUGUCAUAAACAAAUAAUGCCUGUACCAUAACCGACACAGGUGGGUAGGUAGAGUAUACUAAGGGGCGCGAGAUAACUCUCUCUAAGGAACUCGGCAAAAUGACUCCGUAACUUCGGGAGAAGGAGUACCUUAUUUUAUAAGGUUGCAAUAACAAGGUCCAAGCAACUGUUUACCAAAAACACAGGUCUCCGCUAAGUCGUAAGACGAUGUAUGGGGGCUGACGCCUGCCCAGUGCCAGAAGGUUAAAGAAGUUGGUUAGCAUUAGCGAAGCUGAUAACUGAAGCCCUGGUGAACGGCGGCCGUAACAAUAACGGUCCUAAGGUAGCGAAAUUCCUUGUCGGGUAAGUUCCGACCCGCACGAAAGGCGUAAUGAUUUGGAUACUGUCUCGGAGAGGGGCUCGGUGAAAUAGACUUGUCUGUGAAGAUGCGGACUACCUGCACCAGGACAGAAAGACCCUAUGAAGCUUUACUGUAACUUGAGAUUGAAAUUGGACUUUAUUUGCGCAGUAUAGGUGGGAGACCUCGAAAGUAUUCUUGCGGGAAUAUUGGAGUCAUCAGUGAGAUACCACUCUUAUAAUGUUAGAUUUCUAACUUUGUAUCAUUAUCUGGUCAAAGAACAGUUUCAGGCGGGCAGUUUGACUGGGGCGGUCGCCUCCCAAAUGGUAACGGAGGCGCACAAAGGUUUCCUCUGAACGUGUAGAAAUCGUAUCUAGAGUGUAAAGGCAUAAGGAAGCUUGACUGUGAGACCUACAAGUCGAGCAGGGACGAAAGUCGGUCUUAGUGAUCUGACGGUGCUGAGUGGAAAGGCCGUCACUCAACGGAUAAAAGUUACUCUAGGAUAACAGGCUGAUCUCCCCCAAGAGUUCACAUCGACGGGGAGGUUUGGCACCUCGAUGUCGGCUCAUCGCAUCCUGGGGCGGUAGUACGUCCCAAGGGUUGGGCUGUUCGCCCAUGAAAGCGGUACGCGAGCUGGGUUCAGAACGUCGUGAGACAGUUCGGUCCAUAUCCGGUGUAGGCGUUAGAAUAUUGAGAGGAGCCUUCUUUAGUACGAGAGGACCGAGAAGGACAUACCUCUGGUGUACCAGUUAUCGUGCCAACGGUAAACGCUGGGUAGCUAUGUAUGGAGAGGAUAACCGCUGAAAGCAUCUAAGUGGGAAGCCCACCUCAAAAUAAG